rnacentral:rRNA from 1 species
CAUUCACGGAGAGUUUGAUCCUGGCUCAGGACGAACGCUGGCGGCGUGCUUAACACAUGCAAGUCGAACGAUGAAGCCCUUCGGGGUGGAUUAGUGGCGAACGGGUGAGUAACACGUGGGCAAUCUGCCCUGCACUCUGGGACAAGCCCUGGAAACGGGGUCUAAUACCGGAUAUGACCGUCCAUCGCAUGGUGGAUGGUGUAAAGCUCCGGCGGUGCAGGAUGAGCCCGCGGCCUAUCAGCUAGUUGGUGAGGUAGUGGCUCACCAAGGCGACGACGGGUAGCCGGCCUGAGAGGGCGACCGGCCACACUGGGACUGAGACACGGCCCAGACUCCUACGGGAGGCAGCAGUGGGGAAUAUUGCACAAUGGGCGAAAGCCUGAUGCAGCGACGCCGCGUGAGGGAUGACGGCCUUCGGGUUGUAAACCUCUUUCAGCAGGGAAGAAGCGAAAGUGACGGUACCUGCAGAAGAAGCGCCGGCUAACUACGUGCCAGCAGCCGCGGUAAUACGUAGGGCGCAAGCGUUGUCCGGAAUUAUUGGGCGUAAAGAGCUCGUAGGCGGCUUGUCACGUCGG